AAAGUACUCCCUCCGUCCCAAAAUUCUUGUCUUAGAUUUUUCUAGAUACGGAUGUAUCAAGUCACAUUUUAGUAUUAGAUACAUACGUAUCUUGACAAAUCUAAGACAAGAAAUUUGGGACAGAGGGAGUAGUUA
rnacentral:pre_miRNA from 1 species